rnacentral:tRNA from 1 species
GCUGGGAUGCCCGAGUGGUCUAAGGGGCCAGACUCAAGUGCGAAUAAGCUUCACCGAAAAAACUGGUGAGAUUUCUGGUAGUCAUUGACUGCGUGGGUUCGAACCCCACUCUCAGUA